rnacentral:ncRNA from 2 species
GGACAGGACUCUGGAGAGACCCAUAAUUGGGCGCCGAAGGUGCAAACAGCUUAUAAGAGCUGUAAAUCUCUCAGGCAAAAGGACAGAGGGUAGAAG